UUUAACUAAUAAUAUUCAUUUAAACUUGUGAUAAUCAAAUUUCACCCAUGUUUGAUUUUUAUCCAGGAAGUCAAUUUGUGACAUACAUGUCAGACUUCUUUUUGCUUAGGUCACCAAAACUUUAGUACGAAAAAACCCCCCCAAAAAUUCUGUGCGUAUGCAUACAAAUUAAAAAAAAAGGGAACGCAAGAUCCCGCGUGACUGCCUUUAACCCUCUAAAUUACUAGCGCGUUCUGACCCACUCUCCUCUUGUUUUUUUUUUCCCUGUGUGCACCCCAGAUGGAGCAGCCCUCAAUGGAUCAAAAGGGCCACGCCAAUGUUCCCUGGAUAGUCGAGCCAGGACAUGAAGCCAAAAGAGGAGCCAACACCAAGGCAAUGGCGGACGCCCAUGUCUAUUACAGUGGAAUUCAGAGAAUGUAGCCUGUCCCUAACAUGGACCCUCACUCUCACAUGCAUUGCAAAAACGGACCACAAAUACGGAACCUAAAAGCAUCACUGGAGCCUCUCGUAACGCACGUGUAAGGAUUUUCACAAGGACUUUUUCGCCGGGACUUGGUGUACGCGUACAAGGACUGCCGACGUGGACCCUUUUAACAAAACACUCGCAUGCACUCGCGCACACACACACUGCAUAAAAAAACAACAGGAGGAGACUGUGGAAUUUGAAUGUAUACUUUUCAAGAGGCAGCGAUUUGAGUUGCGUUCUGAAGGACGGCGGCCGAUACAGAAAUUUGUUGCGCGAGAGACGGACUGGGGAAGGACUGUCGCUAUGGCGACUCGGACACACUACACUGAUUUUUCACCUAAUAUCUAGUCCAAAAUACCAUGGCAUGUCUGGACUGGGAUAAAAACGGACAUUUACAUAAAUUUCUGUAUUUUUUCUUUUCUGUUUUCUUUGUUUCUAUCUUCCUUUCUUUAUUUCAUUUGUUUAUGGUUAUUGAUCUAAAAAUAUGAAUAUGCACAAUGUGAAUGGACUCAUUGCACUGGACAACCACAAAACUGAUGCGUCUCGUGCCAAAAUCACUAUGGAACGGUUGUGGACGUAAUUGGCAAUGCCACGCAGAUUAAUAUUCAUAUAUUGGCAAGAAAUUUUACUGUUUAAUAGAGAACUAUAUUACCAUUACUGUAAUAUUUACAAUUAUUAUAAUUAUUAUUCUUAUUGUGCAAUUCUCAUCUGAUGUCGUCUUAACGUAACAUUAUUUUUAUAUGACGCGUCAAGCUCAAAUAAGCAGCCAUUCGUGAAAACAAAAAAAUAUUAUUAUAUUACUACGGAGGAACUGAAUGUGCGGAUGGCAACAGAUAUCUUAUUUUCACUCAUUGUCACUGUAGAAUUUUGCCACAGUUCUGUAAAUAAAUAUUUUGUUGACUCAUUGUUCAUAUAUGUAAUUAAAAAAACAAAAAAAACAAAGAAAAACCAUGUAUAAAGAAUGAUUUAAAAAAAGAAAAAAAUCCAAUAAAUUGGAUAGGUAAAGAAGGUACCAAAUUUCGCAGGUCAAAGUGCAACACAUUAAAAGAAAACAACAGUAUGAACAAGGGGUGGAUUUGUGACAUCAUUGCUAACUAACAUGUGUAGAUAGGCUUGGGCUUCCAGCACACAGAUUUUGUAAGUUUGGUCUUUACUUAUAUUCUUGAAAAGCACAUGGAAUAAAUCCAGAUUGUAGAACCAUU